rnacentral:tRNA from 1 species
UGCGGGGUCGUCUAAUGGUAGGACAGCGGACUCUGGAUCCGUUAGUCUAGGUUCGAAUCCUAGCCCCGCAGCCA